rnacentral:rRNA from 1 species
AGAGUUUGAUCCUGGCUCAGAUUGAACGCUGGCGGCAGGCUUAACACAUGCAAGUCGAGCGGUAACAUUUCUAGCUUGCUAGAAGAUGACGAGCGGCGGACGGGUGAGUAAUACUUAGGAAUCUACCUAGUAGUGGGGGAUAGCUCGGGGAAACUCGAAUUAAUACCGCAUACGACCUACGGGAGAAAGGGGCAGUUUACUGCUCUCGCUAUUAGAUGAGCCUAAGUCGGAUUAGCUAGAUGGUGGGGUAAAGGCCUACCAUGGCGACGAUCUGUAGCUGGUCUGAGAGGAUGAUCAGCCACACCGGGACUGAGACACGGCCCGGACUCCUACGGGAGGCAGCAGUGGGGAAUAUUGGACAAUGGGGGAAACCCUGAUCCAGCCAUGCCGCGUGUAUGAAGAAGGCCUUUUGGUUGUAAAGCACUUUGAGCAGUGAAGAAGACUCCGUGGUUAAUACCCACGGACGAUGACAUUAGCUGCAGAAUAAGCACCGGCUAACUCUGUGCCAGCAGCCGCGGUAAUACAGAGGGUGCAAGCGUUAAUCGGAAUUACUGGGCGUAAAGGGAGCGUAGGUGGCUCGAUAAGUCAGAUGUGAAAUCCCCGGGCUCAACCUGGGAACUGCAUCUGAAACUGUUGAGCUAGAGUAUGUGAGAGGAAGGUAGAAUUCCAGGUGUAGCGGUGAAAUGCGUAGAGAUCUGGAGGAAUACCGAUGGCGAAGGCAGCCUUCUGGCAUAAUACUGACACUGAGGCUCGAAAGCGUGGGUAGCAAACAGGAUUAGAUACCCUGGUAGUCCACGCCGUAAACGAUGUCUACUAGUCGUUGGGUCCCUUGAGGACUUAGUGACGCAGCUAACGCAAUAAGUAGACCGCCUGGGGAGUACGGCCGCAAGGUUAAAACUCAAAUGAAUUGACGGGGGCCCGCACAAGCGGUGGAGCAUGUGGUUUAAUUCGAUGCAACGCGAAGAACCUUACCUGGUCUUGACAUAUCUAGAAUCCUGCAGAGAUGCGGGAGUGCCUUCGGGAAUUAGAAUACAGGUGCUGCAUGGCUGUCGUCAGCUCGUGUCGUGAGAUGUUGGGUUAAGUCCCGCAACGAGCGCAACCCUUGUCCUUAGUUACCAGCGGGUUAAGCCGGGAACUCUAAGGAUACUGCCAGUGACAAACUGGAGGAGGGCGGGGACGACGUCAAGUCAUCAUGGCCCUUACGACCAGGGCUACACACGUGCUACAAUGGUAGGUACAGAGGGCAGCUACACAGCGAUGUGAUGCGAAUCUCAAAAAGCCUAUCGUAGUCCAGAUUGGAGUCUGCAACUCGACUCCAUGAGGUAGGAAUCGCUAGUAAUCGCGGAUCAGAAUGCCGCGGUGAAUACGUUCCCGGGCCUUGUACACAC